rnacentral:rRNA from 1 species
AGAGUUUGAUCCUGGCUCAGGACGAACGCUGGCGGCGUGCCUAACACAUGCAAGUCGAACGGUAAGGCUCCCUUCGGGGAGUACACGAGUGGCGAACGGGUGAGUAACACGUGGGUAAUCUGCCCUUGACUGGGGGACAACCGAGGGAAACUUCGGCUAAUACCGCAUAAUGUGCCGCUCUGCAAAGAGAGGUACCAAAGGUAGCUUCGGCUCCCGGUCUUGGAUGAGCCCGCGGAGGAUUAGUUUGUUGGUGGGGUAAUGGCCUACCAAGACUGCGAUCCUUAGCUGGUCUGAGAGGACGAUCAGCCACACUGGAACUGAGACACGGUCCAGACUCCUACGGGAGGCAGCAGUGGGGAAUCUUGCGCAAUGGGCGAAAGCCUGACGCAGCAACGCCGCGUGUGGGAAGACGGCCUUCGGGUUGUAAACCACUUUCAGUAGGGACGAAGGUUCCAGGGUGAAUAGCCCUGUGGAUUGACGGUACCUACAGAAGAAGCUCCGGCUAACUACGUGCCAGCCGCGGCGGUAAUAC